rnacentral:rRNA from 1 species
GAUGAACGCUGGCGGCGUGCCUAAUACAUGCAAGUCGAGCGAACGGACGAGAAGCUUGCUUCUCUGAUGUUAGCGGCGGACGGGUGAGUAACACGUGGAUAACCUACCUAUAAGACUGGGAUAACUUCGGGAAACCGGAGCUAAUACCGGAUAAUAUUUUGAACCGCAUGGUUCAAAGGUGAAAGACGGUCUUGCUGUCACUUAUAGAUGGAUCCGCGCUGCAUUAGCUAGUUGGUAAGGUAACGGCUUACCAAGGCAACGAUGCAUAGCCGACCUGAGAGGGUGAUCGGCCACACUGGAACUGAGACACGGUCCAGACUCCUACGGGAGGCAGCAGUAGGGAAUCUUCCGCAAUGGGCGAAAGCCUGACGGAGCAACGCCACGUGAGUGAUGAAGGUCUUCGGAUCGUAAAACUCUGUUAUUAGGGAAGAACAUAUGUGUAAGUAACUGUGCACAUCUUGACGGUACCUAAUCAGAAAGCCACGGCUAACUACGUG